AUCGCAAAAAAUCUAUUUUGAGUGUUUGGUAAAAAAAUUAACAAAAACUGAUUUUUUUGCGUUUUAUAGACAUCAAAAUGUGAUAAUCCAAAAGUAGGUCACCCCUACCGGAGGAAAACGUGAUUCCACAAUAUAGUCUGCUAAAAUUUACCGCCAUAUCUAUUAUCACCCCUCUCCCUUUGUAUACAUCGUUAGAACCCUAAUCACUUUGGCGGACUGUAACAAAAGUGGGCUUCUCAAAUGGUGGAUUCUUUCUACUUGUUGAUCAUCAUUCCCUUCUCACAGUUGAGGCUUACCCACUUGGGUACUUUGGAGGUCAUGUUCAACUUGGUUGGGUUGAAGUUAUAAGGAGGAGUGAGGUUGAGGCCAUGUUAUCGAGUGCAGUUGGCAAGAUACCUAUUGGGAUUAAGAUUUCACUUAGUUAUUUUUUAAAAUACAUAUAUUUGCCAAACACUCAAUAGUUGAUUAUCUGAUUAUUGUGAUAUCAAACAACAUAAUCAAAUCCAAACACUAUCUUUCUGCAGCACGUUUUGUUACAGCUAAUUAUCUGAUUCUGAUUAUUCAAAACGCAUAAUCUAUUUU
rnacentral:lncRNA from 1 species